AGGAUAGUGGACACAGCGCGCCUGGCUACUGCACUAGUAGAAUGCCGCGGGUGGUGACAUGUCAGUGCUGCGGCUACUAGGAUAGUGGACACAGCGCGCCUGGCUACUGCACUAGUAGAAUGCCGCGGGUGGUGACAUGUGAGCACCAUGGCUACUAGGAUAGUGGACACAGCGCGCCUGGCUACUGCACUAGUAGAAUGCCGCGGGUGGUGACAUGUGAGCACCAUAGCUGUUAGGAUGAUGUGGACACAGCAUACCUGGCUACUGCACUAGCAGAAUGCCCAGGUGGUGAUGCGUCAGCACCACAGCUACUAGGAUAGUGGACACAGCAUGCCUGGCUACUGCACUAGUAGAAUGCUAUGGAUGGUGACAUGUGAGCGCCACCACUACUAGGAUAGUGGACACAGCACGCCUGGUUACUGCACUAGUAGAAUGCUGCAGGUGGUGACAUGUGAGCACCAUGGCUACUAGGAUAGUGGACACAGCGCGCCUGGCUACUGCACUAGUAGAAUGCCGCGGGUGGUGACAUGUGAGUGCUGCGGCUACUAGGAUAGUGGACACAGCGCGCCUGGCUACUGCACUAGUAGAAUGCCACGGGUGGUGACAUGUGAGCACCAUGGCUACUAGGAUAGUGGACACAGCGCGCCUGGCUACUGCACUAGUAGAACACCCCGGGUGGUGACAUGUGAGCACCGCGGCUACUAGGAUAGUGGACACAGUGUGCCUGGCUACUGCACUAGUAGAAUGCCGCGGGUGGUGACAUGUCAGCACCAUGGCUACUAGGAUAGUGGGCACAGUGUGCCCGGCUACUGCACUAGUAGAAUGCCGUGGGUGGUGACAUGUCAGCGCCACGGCUACUAGGAUAGUGGAAACAGCACGCCUGGCUACUGCACUAGUAGAAUGCUGUGGGUGGUGACAUGUCAGCACCACGGCUACUAGGAUAGUGGACACAGUGCCCCUGGCUACUGCACUAGUAGAAUGCCACGGGUGGUGACAUGUGAGCACCAUGGCUACUAGGAUAGUGGACACAGUGCGCCUGGCUACUGCACUAGUAGAAUGCCGCAGGUGGUGACACGUCAGCGCCAUGGCUACUAGGAUAGUGGGCACAGUGCACCCGGCUACUGCACUCGUAGAAUGCCGUGGGUGGUGACAUGUCAGCACCACGGCUACUAGGAUAGUGGAAACAGCACGCCUGGCUACUGCACUAGUAGAAUGCUGUGGGUGGUGACAUGUCAGCACCACGGCUACUAGGAUAGUGGACACAGUGCCCCUGGCUACUGCACUAGUAGAAUGCCACGGGUGGUGACAUGUGAGCACCAUGGCUACUAGGAUAGUGGACACAGUGCGCCUGGCUACUGCACCUGUAGAAUGCCGCGGGUGGUGACAUGUCAGCGCCGCGGCUACUAGGAUAGUGGACACAGUGCCCCUGGCUACUGCACUAGUAGAAUGCCGCGGGUGGUGACAUGUCAA
rnacentral:lncRNA from 1 species